AUUGAACGCUGGCGGCAGGCUUUACACAUGCAAGUCGAACGGAAACAGGCCCUUUGGUGCUGUCGUCUGGCGCAGGGGGGAGUAAUACACCGGGACGUACCCCGCGGUGGGGGUUAACGCACCGAAAGCUGUGCUAAUACAUCACGUGAUCUGAGGCUGACAGCGUGGGGGCGAUUAGCAAUUUUCGGCCUCGGGCGUUUGGAGCGCGGCUUGUCGGCUUAGCUGGUUGGUGGGGUAAAGGCCAACCAAGGCGUCGAUCCGUAGCUGGUCUGAGAGGAGGAUAGGCGACACUGGAGCUGAGACACGGACCAGACGCCUACGGGAGGCAGCAGUGGGGAAUGUUGGACAGUGGGCGCAAGCCUGAUCCAGCGAUGCCGCGUGUGGGAAGAAGGCCUUCGGGGUGUAAAGAGCGUUUGGGGGGUACGAAACGCUGUAGGCUAAGACCGAGCGUUAGUGACGGUACCUGCAGAAUAAGCACCGGCUAACUACGUG
rnacentral:rRNA from 1 species